rnacentral:rRNA from 1 species
GAUGAACGCUGGCGGCGUGCCUAACACAUGCAAGUCGAGCGAACGGACGAGAAGUUUGCUCUUCUGAUGGUAGCGGCGGACGGGAGCGUAACAUGUGGAUAACCUACCUAUCAGACUGGGAUGAUUUCAGGAGACCGGAUCUAAGACCGGAUAAUAUUUCGCACCUCAUUGUUCACAAGUGAAAUACGGUCGUUCGUUGAGUUAUAGAUGGAUACGCGCUGGAUUCGUUAGUUGGUGAGGUAACUGCUUACCAACGCAGCGAUGGAUAGCCGACCCAAAGGCGACGUCGCAUACCCGGGCACUGAGACUCAGUCCAGACUCCUGCGGGAGGCAGCAGUAGAGAAUCCUACGCGAGGCACGAGUGCCUAACGGAGGAACGCCGCGUGAGUGCUGAAGGUCUUCGGCUCGUAAAGCGCUGAUGUUAGGAAAGAUCAUAUGUGUAUGUAACUGUGCACAUAUUGACAGUACCUGAACAGAAAGCCACGGCUAACUACGUG